UGCUCUUCCAAAGUUAGUGGCGGACGGGUGAGUAACACGUGGGCAACCUGCCUGUAAGUUGGGGAUAACUCCGGGAAACCGGGGCUAAUACCGAAUGAUAAAGUGUGGCGCAUGCCACGCUUUUGAAAGAUGGUUUCGGCUAUCGCUUACAGAUGGGCCCGCGGUGCAUUAGCUAGUUGGUAGGGUAAUGGCCUACCAAGGCAACGAUGCAUAGCCGACCUGAGAGGGUGAUCGGCCACACUGGGACUGAGACACGGCCCAGACUCCUACGGGAGGCAGCAGUAGGGAAUCUUCCGCAAUGGACGAAA
rnacentral:rRNA from 1 species